UCUGCUGUCACAUGAUCAUUAUCACAGGUCCUUCAAUCACAAUAUCUUCUAUCCUGCGCUGCGGAGCUCCGCCCAUUCCUGUCACAUGGUCCUCCCCACAGGUCCUUCACAGUCACAUCUUUACUGCUAAACUUUGUACUGGUCACAUGAUUAUGACAUCAUCACAGGUCCUACACCUCCAGCAUGUAGCAGAUACAGAGCAGGUCCUGGUGGGGCAGUCACUGCUGUUGUGUUGUGUGUGGAGAUCUCUCAGAGCAGCAGCCCCUGAUCAUGUGACUCCUCCUCCUCCUCCAUGUGACUGAUCACAUGACGGUGACAUCAUCGCAGGUCCUGUAAGCACAUGGCUCCUCUACAGAUACAGGUUUCUCCAAUCCAGGAUCCUCUGCUGAUAUCUUCUAUAUAAGAGAAUUCUCCUGGAUGACCCAUCAACCAUGGAGAGAGACAGGAACAAGAUGGCCGACAGGAUCAUAAACCUCACCCUACAGAUACUCUUCCGGCUUACUGGAGAGGAUUACACAGUAGUGAAGAAGUCCUCUAGUGAGCGCUGUCGGGCCCCUGUGUGUGAAGGAUGGGGAAGAACACUGAGCCCAAUCCCGGGGCCCCCACC